rnacentral:rRNA from 1 species
GACGAACGCUGGCGGCGUGCUUAACACAUGCAAGUCGAACGGUAAGGCCCUUCGGGGUACACGAGUGGCGAACGGGUGAGUAACACGUGGGCUAUCUGCCCUUCACUGCGGGAUAAGCCUGGGAAACUGGGUCUUAUACCGGAUAGGAGCACUGCCCGCAUGGGUGGUGGUGGAUAGCUUUUGCGGUUUGGGAUGGGGCCGCGGCCUAUCAGGUUGUUGGUGGGGUGAUGGCCUACCAAGGCGACGACGGGUAGCGGGCCUGAGAGGGUGACCGGCCACACUGGGACUGGGAUACGGCCCAGACUCCUACGGGAGGCAGCAGUGGGGAAUAUUGCACAAUGGGCGCAAGCCUGAUGCAGCGACGCCGCGUGAGGGAUGACGGCCUUCGGGUUGUAAACCUCUUUCAGCACCGACGAAGCGCAAGUGACGGUAGGUGCAGAAGAAGGACCGGCCAACUACGUGCCAGCCGCCGCAGUAA